GCUAUGUCUGAACUUGAUAUUCUCCCAAAGCUAAUAUGGAAGCUGGCGUUGAGCAAUACCAAAAGUACCGUCAGGAUCGGGAAGAGCCUGUCCGAGUCCUUCGAUACUAAGCGAGGUUUCAGACAAGGAUACUUCCUAUCGUGCGAUUUCUUCAAUCUAUUCCUGGAGUAAAAGCAAGCAGCAGAUCUGAAUAGAGAAGACUGAAUAAGGCGUAUGGUUUUGAUUGAUAACGACGACUAGACGAAAUAUCUCCUGUCAUCAAACAAACGGUCAACGCAUUCGCGACUUGGCUAGCAUUUUGAAGUCGAAGAUAAUUUCGUCUUGGUUCCAAAUCAGCAUCAACGUCAGUCUCGAAAUUCAACGACAUAAUCUGAAGAGUCAGCGUUACGAGCAUUCGAGAGAAAGCUUCUGCCGAAGAUUUAUGGUCCUAUGGGCAUUGGCAACGGCGAAAACCGCAGUCGAUGGAACGAUGAGCUGUACGAGAAGGACAGAC